rnacentral:rRNA from 1 species
UACGUAGGUGGCAAGCGUUGUCCGGAUUUACUGGGCGUAAAGGGCGUGCAGGCGGUUUGUUUAGUCUAGGGUGAAAGCUCCCGGCUCAACUGGGAGAGGUCCUUGGAUACUGGCAGACUUGAGGGAGGCAGAGGAAAGUGGAAUUCCCGGUGUAGUGGUGAUAUGCGUAGAUAUCGGGAGGAACACCAGUGGCGAAGGCGGCUUUCUGGGCCUUACCUGACGCUGAGACGCGAAAGCGUGGGGAGCGAACCGG